rnacentral:tRNA from 1 species
UUCCCUGUGGCUCAGUUGGUAGAGCAUGGUGUUUGCAACGCCAGGGUUGUGGGUUCGAUUCCCACGGGGGUAA